AGACAACCACGUACUAAUGUUGUCCGCCCGAAAAUUACAAGCAUAAGCUCAAAACUCAAAGGACUUGGCGGCGCUUUAGAUCCUCCUAGAGGAGCCUGUCCUGUAACCGAUAAUCCCCGUUAAACCUUACCUUCUUUUGCCUCCAGUCUAUAUACCGCCGUCGUCAGCUUACCCUUUGAGGGCUUUAUUAGUAAGCAAGUUCGGUCGAGCCUCAGACGUCAGGUCGAGGUGUAGCAUAUAAGAAGUGAAGAGAUGGGCUACAUUUCCUCCCCAGGGUCUCACGAAUAGUAAAUUGAAACAUAUACAUUGAAGAAGGAUUUAGUAGUAAGUAAAAAAUAGAGAGUUUU
rnacentral:rRNA from 1 species